CUCAGCCUCUCUCACCGCCUCCCUCUCUCUCUCAUCUCUCUCACUCUCCACUCCUGGCGGCGGAUGGUGGGUCGGUGGCACUGCGGCAGCGGCUGGAGUUGCGCGACGGCGCAGCAGGCUGACGCCGGACGGCAAGCGCUGCAGCGGGGUGCGCUGCGGCGCUGCGGCCUGCGCCCUGCGCGCCAUCCGGCAGCUCGGCAGGGGGAGGCAGGGGCCGCGAGCCUCGAGGCAACGACGCCGGCGAGGGCACGAGGCCGAGGUGUAGGGGCGUGGUGGCCGGCGCUAGCGGGGAGGGUGGAGGGGGUGAGGUCGAAGACAGAAGGAUGGACGCAGUGCUUGCCAACGUACCCGCCAUGGAUUUAUGUUCGCCGAAGCCUGGAGACCUGAUCUGUAGAACAGAAGGCUGCAAGUAAUUUUUUUUCCUUUCUCAAUUUUUACCUCUUUCAUUUCUUACUUUCAUCAAUUGGUCAAUUAGAAAUUUCUUACUGUCAUUAUACUUCGUUGAAUGAAUUUUCAUGGAUAGUUCUUGCCUUUACUUUGAACCCUAUGUGUGUAGAGAACCUGGUUCUGCCACUAGAAAGAAAAGACAUGGUAGGAUACGAUUGAUAGAUAUAAUUAAAGGCAUAGACAACAACAAUAAAACGGAGCAAUCAUAGAUCUAUAGAAUAACGCAUGUCCAAGGCAAUUCUUGGAACAAGGUGCCAUGCACGAUUCACCAAUUGAACACGUCAUGUACACUAACUCAUGGAUAUCACUGACCCAUGGAUAUAUUCCCCCAUCCCACUAGAAUAUUAACCUCUAUCAUUUAUGCCAAAUAAAUUUACUUAUGUUCCUUAUCUAUUAUAGUCUAUAAAUCCAUCAAUUCCAUUUUCAGUAGUCUUUAUGUACACUUGCAAUAUUACUUCCCUAUCAAUAAAAAUUAUGUUGGUCAUUUUCACUUACUUUUAAUUUGUAUCUGAAGAGUUCAGGUUGGAGUUAUUUCGGCACUAAGGCAGUAAGUAUUUUUUUUUAUUUUAUUGUAGAUAAUAACAUAAUUAUGAUAAAUAAGAAAAUAUUUUAGUUGAAAGAAGACAGUCCACAGACAAAAACGAACUGUCAGUUGGAAGAUGUAAAAAGAAAAUGAACCAACGCAUGUAAAAUAGAACGACGUCAGCUGACGAUAGGGAGUGUCAUGUCCUUUUUACUGGUGAGGUACAAAAGUUGAGAUGAAAGAGAGCAUGCCAAACCAAGGCAUCCUAACUUAAGUAGGAGCGGAACUAAAAUAAAAUAAUACAGCAGAUACCACUCACUUACUUUUAGUGUUUUGAACAGAAUUAAUAGGGUGUAUAUAUGAUGAAAAUAGAUAAAUUCUACUUAAAAAAUUUCUAAACCGGGUGGCUGGGAAUCCCAUGCAUCACAUAACUCCGCUCCUGAACAUAAGACAAAAAAUCCUUAUAACUCUAUAUAGUCUACUUUACCAUUAUAAAAAGGUAUUAGGAGAUAAAAUAGAAUAAGCUAACUUUAAU
rnacentral:lncRNA from 1 species